GUGAAGAAAAUGUACCCUAAAAAUGGAUAAAUGGCAGCAAAGACAAUUGAGAGGAGACACACGAAUCAUGAGAAUCAAACAAAUGAUGGAGUUCACAUGCUCUAUAAUGGACAUAAUUUGACUACCCAAGUUAUUCAUCCGUCAGUUGCAUAUAGGACAGUGAUUCUCGAGAGGUUAAAAGAUGUGCAUAG